CCUACGGGUGGCAGCAGUGAGGAAUAUUGGUCAAUGGGCGUAAGCCUGAACCAGCCAAGUCGCGUGAGGGAUGAAGGUUCUAUGGAUCGUAAACUUCUUUUAUAAGGGAAUAAAGUGAGGGACGUGUGCUUUUUUGCAUGUACCUUAUGAAUAAGGAUCGGCUAACUCCGUGCCAGCAGCCGCGGUAAUACGGAGGAUCCGAGCGUUAUCCGGAUUUAUUGGGUUUAAAGGGUGCGUAGGUGGGCUGUUAAGUCAGUGGUGAAAGUUUGUGGCUCAACCGUAAAAUUGCCGUUGAUACUGGGGGUCUUGAGUAUGUUUGAGGCAGGCGGAAUGCGUGGUGUAGCGGUGAAAUGCUUAGAUAUCACGAAGAACCCCGAUUGCGAAGGCAGCUUGCCAAGCCGUGACUGACGCUGAUGCACGAAAGCGUGGGGAUCAAACAGGAUUAGAUACCCUAGUAGUC
rnacentral:rRNA from 1 species